rnacentral:lncRNA from 1 species
UGAUCUGUUUCUUAAUGGAGAAGGAAUCUCAAGUGACCGUCAAAUACCAAGUCCUAGCUUUGCCUCUUGGUCUCCUGAUGUCAGUGAUGUUCUCGCUCUAUUUCAAUGCUACCUCAUCAGAAAUGGUCACAACAGAACCUAUUGGUUCAUUGAUUAGUCAUGCUUCCAAACGGAUCUGCCUAGCAGGGAUCAUCCUUCAAGGUCUACAGCAUCAAGAAUUUAAAAGUACAUGCUAUAGAUCUCCCCUAUGUGAUGGGAAUCAAGAAGUAGACUCUCAUACAAUCAUUGGCUCCAGUCUUCUGGUGCUUUUGCCAUAGGGGGGUGUCAAAUUCUAUUUUUUUUCUUUUGGCUUAGAAUUCACCUGAAAUGUGAAUGUGAAAGUUUCUGAGGAAAACCUUGGGUAAGGUCUUGGAUUUAGUCUUGUUUUCAUCAUUCAUUUUCUCUCAAUUCAACAUUUUAUUCAGUACUUACUUAGGAGUAUUUAUACAAUGGCACUUAAUGAAGAGACUAUCAAUUCUUAACCGAAAAAAAUAUAUAUAGUAUAAACAAAAGAAAUGUUACCCUAUCAAUCUUUCCUCAAGAAUUUCGAUGAACUUUACCAUCAUGCAUUCUUUCAGGUACGGAAUACCUAUAUUAAAACAGUUCAGGAUGGCUAUUUCAAUUUAUAGGUGGAAAAGCUUAAACAUUAAAAAGUAAAAUAAGAAUGGUAAAUAACCCCCAAGAUUUCUGUCUUUUAUUUUUUUCUGCUGAAAUAGUAAAAAUAUCCUCCUUUGCUAUUAAAUGCAAAAUUAAGGUAAAUGGAUACAUUAUACACAAAGAUACUCUUUUUCACUAAGAAGUGUUCUUUUCAGUCCUCUAGGCCACACAGACACUCUGAAAACAGGUAAUGUCCAAAUAUAGUGUCAGUGGUUUCCAGUGAGAGAAACCUUGAGGUAGUGAUUCCCACAUGACUGGUCGAAGGAGAAUUUCAUUUCACUUGUGGCAAAAAAUUAGAGCCAGCCUGGAAACAAAGAGAGCUGACCAGAGAGCUGACCAGCUGGAAAUCAUAACCCUUUCACCCCACAGUAACCCUGCCGGAAACAUAUGCAAAACAGGGCUUAGGAAGAGCAAAUCCUAUCAGCUGGAAAUAAACAUGAGUUCUUGAAGUAGAAAAUAUGGACU